rnacentral:rRNA from 1 species
UUUAGAUAUAAUUUUAUUUCCUGAUUAGUAUUAGUUAAAUUCUUGAAAAUUAAAAAUUUUGGCGGUAUUUUAAUCAAUUCAGAGGAAUCUGUUUCAUAAUUGAUAAUCCACGAUAAGAAGUACUUAUUUUUUUAGUUUGUAUAUCGUUGUUAAGAAUUUCUUUUUUGAGUUAAUUUUCAUUUUUAUUACAUUAAAUUAUUUCAGAUCAAGGKGCAGCUUAUAAAUAAGAAGAAAUGGAUUACAUUAAAUUUAUU